GACAGCGGCUCUUUUUAUCAGCGCGGCUCCACCGGGGCACCGCGAUCUGGCGGCGGCGCCGCCGGGUCCUAGUGCCAACUGUCCCCGCUCGUCCUGCGGCUGCUGGUCAAGAUUCCACGAGAUUCACCAAGGGAAUCUAGAUCCACAGCAUGCGAGAUGAAGCAGAAAAUGCUGCAAAUACUCAGUAGGUCAGACAGCAUCCGUGGAAAUGGAACCAGUUAACCUUUCAGGCAAUUAAAUUAUUGUUCAUCUGCAACUCAACUUCGUUCCCUUGGCAUGCAUAACCUUACCUAACCAAAAUAGCAGAGGU